AUUGAACGCUGGCGGCAGGCCUAACACAUGCAAGUCGAGCGGAUGAAGGGAGCUUGCUCCUGGAUUCCGCGGCGGACGGGUGAGUAAUGCCUAGGAAUCUGCCUGGUCGUGGGGGAUAACGUCCGGACACGGGCGCUAAUACCGCAUACGUCCUGAGGGAGAAAGUGGGGGAUCUUCGGACCUCACGCUAUCAGAUGAGCCUAGGUCGGAUGAGCUAGUUGGUGGGGUAAAGGCCUACCAAGGCGACGAUCCGUAACUGGUCUGAGAGGAUGAUCAGUCACACUGGAACUGAGACACGGUCCAGACUCCUACGGGAGGCAGCAGUGGGGAAUAUUCGACAAUGGGCGAAAGCCUGAUCCAGCCAUGCCGCGUGUGUGAAGAAGGUCUUCGGAUUGUAAAGCACUUUAAGUUGGGAGGAAGGGAAGUAAGUUAAUACCUUGCUGUUUUGACGUUACCAACAGAAUAAGCACCGGCUAACUUCGUG
rnacentral:rRNA from 1 species